rnacentral:rRNA from 1 species
GUGUCAGCCGCCGCGGUAAGACGUAGGGUCCGAGCGUUGUCCGGAAUUACUGGGCGUAAAGCGCGCGCAGGCGGAUUCGCGCAUCAUCGGUGAAAGCCCCCCGCUCAACGGGGGAGGGUCCGGUGAGAUGGCGAGUCUGGAGGCAGGGAGAGGCGAGUGGAAUUCCGGGUGUAGUGGUGAAAUGCGUAGAGAUCCGGAGGAACACCAGUGGCGAAGGCGGCUCGCUGGACCUGACCUGACGCUGAGGCGCGAAGGCGUGGGGAGCGAACGGGAUUAGAAACCCGGGUAGUCC